rnacentral:rRNA from 1 species
CAGGCAGGCGGUGCUGUGUGUCCGCUGUGAAAGCCCUCGGCUCAACCGAGGAAUUGCAGCGGAAACUGCGGGACUUGAGUCCGGGAGAGGCUAGUGGAAUUCCCAGUGUAGCGGUGAAAUGCGUAGAUAUUGGGAGGAACACCAGUGGCGAAGGCGGCUAGCUGGACCGGUACUGACGCUGAACUGCGAAAGCCAGGGGAGCGAACG